rnacentral:lncRNA from 1 species
GAAUGGAUGGCAUGCCUUUCAUCCUGAGGCUCUUAAAGGCCUGAAUCCUCCCAGGUUUUCUAUUUUAGAACCUGCUGGGGCGACAAGAGCCUGGGAGGCAGGGGCAGAGCGAUGGGACGACGUCCGAAGUAGAGACCCUCUGGUCUACAAACAAGAUGAGGACACUGAGGCGGGCAGAAGUGAAGUGACCUGCCCAGGGUCCUACAGCCAGUAAGUGCAUGCGGCUGCAUUUGAACCCAGGAUUUCCUGACCCCAG